AAAGUUAGGUUUUGGGUCGGUGAUGCAGAAAAUAUAUGAUUUUGAUAACCCAAUUUUACGUAUUUCAAAAUUAAUAAUGUAAUUAAAAAAUAUUUGGAGAAUCAUGCACUUUCAGCUUAUGUGUAUUUUAAUGCCAAAAAUACCCUUCACCUUGCCAGCUAAGUGUUCCACAUCUGAAAAUUCAGAAGAGAAAAAACCCUCCGAAAAGCCACAAAGCCAAUAUCUCUCUCAUAUACUGCUUUUCCCAUUCUCAAUCUCAGAAACCCAAAAUGAUGUAAAACCUAACCUCUUUCAUUUCUGUAACAUUCUCGUCUCCCAUUUUGUUGAUAAACAUCAACAGCCCAAAACCUAACUUUCCCAAAAAAAAAGUUAUAAUGCUGCAGAGGAGAAGAAUUUAUCAGGUGGAUGUGUUGGUAAAUGAGAAAAGAAUCAGAAGGAAGAGACACGGGACUACGGGAGGAAACCGGGAAAGGUGAUAUCCUUUUUGUUCCCAAAUUACUUGAUCCAGAAACCCUAAUUUCUGAAACGAAGAUCAGAUCCGGGGAAAAUUGGUGAUCGGAAUCAAUGGUGGGUGCAUCGAGCUCAUGGUCUCGCGCACUGGUUCAAAUCUCACCUUACACCUUCUCCGCCAUCGGCGUUUCCGUCUUGGGUGCCGCUUGUGAACAAAAAGGUUUCAGCUAACAAAUUGAAACAACAGGCGGUCAAGGCUUCCUACAAACAUGAAAGGCAAAAAUAUGCUGAAACUUCUCAAUCAAUACCUUCUUAUUCUUGCCCAAAUGGGGGUAUUAUUUCUUCUCAUUAUUUUCCUUGUUAAUUUGGUUACAAUUGAAGUGCAUUGCAUUAGUAUUGAGUCCAUAGUUUUGAUUCUUAUUCCAUUGGUUUUGAACUUUGAAGUUUAUUUAGACAAUGUAACUUGUCCAAAAAAAAAAUAGUGGAAAGUUCAAAAUUCUGAACCAUGUUUACUUCAUCCUGGAGAUCCUCCUAGAAGACUAAUUUUCACCCAAAUGAUUAGAUGUUGUCAAAUAUUAUUUGACUAUGUGGCUUAUUUCUACAGGUGCGGCCUUAUAAACUGUGGAUUGAAAUGGAAAAUAUUGAGAAAGGGAUUGUAGAAAUCAUUGCUCAGAAUAAUAUAAAAUGGCUUGUUAUGGGAGCUGCAGCAGAUAAAUAUUAUUCAAAAAUCAAUGUUGCUCUGGCGCUUCAAAAUAUGUGAUACAUGUAGAGGGUUAUGGAUUGUGAGCUAUCAAUGGGAGCAUCCAUCAAAGAAAAGAGGAACACAUUCCUAGUAUACAGGAAGUUCCACAGUAUACUUUCUUAAUUUGUUCCUCUUUUGAAUGAUAUCUCAAAACAAGCAAAGCACUCACAUUGCAUAUGCUAUGUUGUUUUAACAAAUCAUUUACCCAAGCUAUGAAAAAAAAAACAAAAGGAAAAUCGGAUGCUUUGAUAAUUUAGCCAUGUCUUUAUAUUUGAGGAUUAGAUGAAUUGAUACCUAAACACAUUGGAGAUUGAUCAAACUUAUGUAUCUAAUUGAGAAACUUAUUGGUGUUAGAAUUAUAUAAUCUUAUUGUGAACCUUUUAUAUCAUUGCCUUCUAACUAGAUAGCUUCAUCCUCUUAGUUAUUUAAUAUUUUAUAAGAACGAAUUCUUUAAAAGAAUUUGAAGACUGUAGCAUGUAACAGCAUGAUUGAGAAUGAAAAUUUCAGCAAAAGGAAGAAAAUGUUUAUUUAAAGUUAAGUCGCUUGUUGUCGUGAUUUUAACUCAAGGCAUUAGCUUUGGUAUGUGCCUGUGCAAUUAAUUAUAAUUAAGGUAUUGUUUUUAUGCUGAUAACAUUAAAAUGCCAUGAUAACCUUAAAAUGUGCAUAUAUCAAAAUAGGUAAAACUUAUACCAAUUUAAUUGAAC